rnacentral:rRNA from 1 species
UACGAAGGGGGCGAGCGUUGUUCGGAAUUACUGGGCGUAAAGGGCGCGCAGGCGGCCUUAGAAGUCAGAUGUGAAAGCCCCGGGCUCAACCUGGGAAUGGCAUUUGAUACUCUGAGGCUGGAGUACGGGAGAGGAGAGUGGAAUUCCCGGUGUAGCGGUGAAAUGCGCAGAUAUCGGGAAGAACACCCGUGGCUAAGGCGGCUCUCUAGUACGGUACUGACGCUGAGACGCGAAAGCGUGGGGAGCGAACAGG